GUGCUCACUUCUGCAGCACAUACACUAAAAUUGGAACAAUAUAGAGAAGAUUAGCAUGGCUCCUGUGCAAGGAUGACAUGCAAAUUCAUGAAGCGUUCUAUAUUUUA
rnacentral:snRNA from 1 species